UUCCUCUGUGUGUUUUUUUCCUCUUUAGUCCUCCCCUGCUUUCUCUUCGCCACUCUUUUCUACUGCAGGAAGAUGGGAACGUUCUCGUCGUCUCCCUUUUGUUCUCCUGGAGAACCCAUCAUGAAGGACUCACAGGAUCCGCUCAUACCAUCGGGAGACACAGAGGCACACGCGGACAAAGACAGCACGUUCCCUGUACCUGUGUGAACCAGGAAGUGACUUCAACAGACGGGAGUGACCGAGACUCGUGUGUGUGUGUGUGUGUGUGUGUGUGUGCGCGCGCGCGUGUGUGCGCGUGUGUGAGCGUGUGUUUGUGUGUGUGUAAGACAAAAUGAUGCCCCCAUUAAUCCAAAUGAAGUGAAAUGAUCUGAAUGGUUUAAUUUAUUUAUUUCUGUCUUUAUUGUACUCAUAAUCUGUAAACAAAUCUUCAGUGAGUCAGAUCUAAAGAUCAGACUCUGUCAUUUUAUUUGAUUUUUUUUCUGAAUUACUCUCGGAUCUUUGGGGCAUUUGUGCUUGAAUAUUCCAGUUUAAUUUAUUCUCCAUUUUUGAGAUAUUGGCGCUUCUGUAAUCGCUGCUUCAUAUAUCUGAAUCUCAAUCAGCUCUGUAAAUGACUCUUUUUCAGAUUUAAUGCGUUUUUAUCUUUAUUUUUUGACCGUAUUUAAUUCUGAAUAUUUUACGAUUUAAAACCGGAAUCUUUAGGACAUUUUGGAGGAAGAAUUGCGGCUCAUAAAUUGUUUAACGCACACUUAGUUUCUAGGGUGAGCGCAUUCUAUAAUAGAUUCAUAUGAAUCAUUUGCAAUUGAUUCUUUGCCGACUCUGAAUGUGAAUCAAAGUAAACGUGCGAUGAAACAGUCUGGAUGGUUUAAUGUAAUUUAACCUCUGUUUAAUUUAACCUGGCUAUUAUGUGAAUGAUUUCAUCUGCAUAUGCAAAUGAAUCUUCUUCUAAUUGCUCACUGAAUCACUCUCGUGUCACUUCAGUUGUUUUCUGUUUGCUGUUUUCGAAUUUGAUUUUAUAAAUGGAAUUGGACACAGAUGAUCCUAAAGUGAUCUAAACAGCUCUAUGAACGUUUCUUGUGCGCUGGAAGCCGAGUGACGUUUGUAAACGAAUCGUUUUGAAGUGACUCUGAAUCACUUUAGGGUUUUUAUUUGUUUAAGGUACGUAGUGAGGAAUCCACCUCGGUGAAUCAAAAGGUUUCAUUUUACAGCAAUGACUCGAACUCAUGGAAAUGAUUCUUCUGAAUUUGUUUGUGAACGAAUCUGUUUUACGUACCAUGUAUAUUAUAGCUUUUCAUUUUCAUCAACCCAUGACGCUUGAUUUUGGAGUGUGUAGUGUAAAUAUGGAUCAGAUUUUUCAACUUGUGCCUUGUUACUGAAUGCUGAAUACACUCCUCCUGAACUACUGGUGGAACAGGAUAUAUUUGACUCGGUCGGUGAUUUGAAUGUAAUGUUAUAUUUACAGGACUUGUGUAAUUGGGGAAACCAGUCAAACAAACGAACAAUUAUUUACUUAGCACUUUUAGUCAUGUCAGUAAGGUUAGUUUUGUUGAUUUGAAAUGUUUGUGGUUUGUUUAUGAUGUUUUCUUAAAGGGCUGGAGUUUGUCACUAAUAACUGAUUAAGCCACACUUCAAAGUGUUAUUGUAUUGUAUUUCUUCUGAGUCUGCACUAGGGUUAAUGAGUGACUACAGUGAGGAUGUGAAUGUUACAGAGCCUGUUUUGGGGGCUGGGACAAUGCUGUAGGGUUAUUUAUUAGUUGAGAGAUUAGUAUUUAUUUUUUUGUUUCUGUGGCUCUUCCUGCUGAAAUAAAAAGCAAAUGCUGCGGCUUUAUUAAAAGCCAGAAAGUUGAAUAAACUGUGUUUUUAUUUA